AAUCAACGCUGGCGGCGUGCCUAACACAUGCAAGUCGAACGCGAGAGGGGCUUCGGCCCCGAUUGAGUGGCGAACGGGUGAGUAACGCGUGGGUGACCUACCUUCGAGUGGGGGAUAACGUCCCGAAAGGGACGCUAAUACCGCAUAACAUCCUGCUUUUGAAUGGGUGGAGAUCAAAGCCGGGGAUCGCAAGACCUGGCGCUUGAUGAGGGGCCCGCGUCUGAUUAGCUAGNGGUGAGGUAACGCCCACCAAGGCAACGAUCAGUAUCCGGCCUGAGAGGGCGGACGGACACACUGGGACUGAGACACGGCCCAGACUCCUACGGGAGGCAGCAGUGGGGAAUUGUUCGCAAUGGGCGCAAGCCUGACGACGCAACGCCGCGUGGAGGAUGAAGGUCUUCGGAUUGUAAACUCCUGUU
rnacentral:rRNA from 1 species